UAGGCAAUGUACUCUCAGAGGUUUAUUUUCGAAACACUUCAAGUGACUAUUUUAAUUUUCCACACUUGCUGUACACACAAGUUGUCGAGGAGAUUGCUUCUUUUUUCUGCGGAACUAGUUUUAGGAACCUGCAGUAAUCUCAAAACUGAAAGGAAAAACGAAUUGUAGUCAACACGUAAAGAAUAAAAUUUUCAAGAUCUGGGGCUGGAGGUGUAGUUCAAGGGUAGAACAUUUGCCUGACAAGCACAAGGCCUGGGGUUCAAUCCCCAACAAAUGAAUGUCAGGAAGUUCAUUAUACUUUAGGUUUUGACUAAGAGCUCAAAUUAAAUUUCGCACUCUGAUCGAAAUCAAACAGGAUAGGUAUGUUAGGUAAAGUCCUUUAUACUUUAGGAAUGGGCGAGUCCGCGGUCUUGGCGCUGAGGCAGGCAGCAGCUGUGGGGAACUAGGCUGAGAGCGAGCAGAGCCGGAAGGCAGCCUUGGCAGGACUAGGACUAGAGGUCUUAUUACUGCUUAGGAAAGCUCCCUCCGGCGCCGGCGCCUUAGGUCACAAGGCUGAGACGACAAAAAGUCAGCUGAAAAUAAAAGAAGACUGGAAGAUUGGAAAAUAAACUCACAGGGUCUCUGUGAAUUUACCUGCAGGCUGGGACAACUGGCAACCCAUUGUGGGGCCCCGAGAAUGGGGAACUUAGUGCGGGACGCUGUUCGUGGGCCCAAGGUAGGAAAAGGAAAAGAAAACAGAGAACCGAUGUGGGAUCCUGCCACACCGCUGAACCUCAGGUCUCCGUGGACUUACCUGCAGGCCGGGACAGUUAAGGGCCCACCCAUCUUCCAACCACACUAGACUGGGCUCUGCAGAUUUUGUGGACUUAGCUGGGCCAUGCCCAGUGACCUUCUUUCAAUCCAAGAAACUGAGGCUGUGCAAGGUGAGUUCCAACACACAAGCCUGGGGCAGGGGAGAGUUUAAGGUCAUCACUCUCAAUGGUUAAGUGCCUGCCCAGCUUACAACCACACUAGACUAGGCUUGGGAGGUUUUGAAGCCCAACUGGACCACUCCCAGCAACCUUCUUCAGUCAAGAUACCUAAGGGCACAUGAAGUGAGUUCCAGUGCAUCAGUGCUUGCCUAGAGAGAGCCUUUGACCAUCACUCACAGUACUUAGGAGCCCCUCCAGCUUUCUGGAACACCAGAAGUGGCAUGGGAGGUCCUGUGGGCCUGACUGGACCAUGCUCAGCAACCUCCAUUCAGUCCCAGGAGAUGAGAGCAUAGGAAGCGAUUUCCAACAUGCCCACGAGAAGCUUUGGAACACCACUUGAAACACAGAAACAUAGGAAAAUAACAAGACAAAAGACCAAAAUGCAAUCUGAAAACUCCAGCCCAUCACAAGAAAGCCUAGAAGUCAUGUACAUAGAAGAAAAUAUAUACCAUACACCUGAAAUACCUGAAAUAAUAGCAACUGAAAUAAAGAAGCAACUCUGGAAAGCUUUAAAGGAAUUCAAAUUAGAAAUAAUCUCCAAGGUAAAACAAGAAAUGAUAAAAGUAAUGAAAGAGAUGCUGAACACAUCUAAAGAAGAUACAGUUAAAAAUUAGAGGCACAAAGCAAAAAUAGAACCCCUGCAUGAACAAUAUAAGAAACAAACAAUACAUGAAGCAGAUUCAAAGAGAUAUUUGGGAAAUCAAAAAUUCCAUUGAAAGUUUUAAAAAUCACCUCAACCAAAGUGAAGAUAAAAUUUCAGACCUCGAAGACAAGAUUGCAGCUAGUGAACAGUAAAGGAAAGAUCUUUUAAAAAUAACAAGGAAUCAGGAAAUAACAAUUCAAUAGCUGCAAGAUGAUGCAAAGGAAAACAACACAAAAUUGAUAGGGAUAAAUGAAAAAGAAGGGGACAACAAAAGUGAUAUCAAGAGGUUAUUUACAGAAGUAAUGACUGAAAAUUUGCCAAACAUGAGAAUGGAAACUGAUAUGUGGAUUAGUGAAACAUAUAGAAUUCCAAAUAGCCAUAGCCAAAAUAAAACUACACCCAGACAUAUAAUAGUCACCAUCCCAGAAAUCCAAUGUAAGAAUAGAAUAUUAAAAGCUGUUAGAAAAGACAGAGCACCUAUAAAUGAAAACCUGUCAGAAAAAGAGCAGACAUCUCAACACAAACAAUGACUUUAAGAAGAGCAUGGAGCAAAGUAUUUCAGAUCCUAAAGGAAAACAAAGUCCAGCCUAGACUGAUGUACCUUGCAAAACUGUCCUUCAAAAUGGAUGAAAAAUAAAAUACUUCCAUGGCAAAGAGUAGCUGAAGAACUUCAUGAUCACCAAGCCAACUUUGCAAAGAAUACUGAAAGACAGUUUAGAUACACUUAGGAAAAAAACCACUAAACAAAGCAGACAGUUAAAUGGAACAGAAAGAUAAAGAUGCAACAGAGAAAGACAACAUGUCAACAAUAAACCAAUAUAUAACAGUUAUAACCAUUAAUGUAAAUGGUUUCCAUUCAGUAAUUAGAAGAAACAGACUGGCAGAAUGUAUCAAGAAACAACAUCCAACCAUAUGUUGUGUACAGGAAACCCAUCUAACCCAAAGGGAAACUGAUAAACUGAAAAUUAAAGGAUGGAAAACAGUACUUCAUCCAACAGGAACCCAAAUAGAGCAGGAGUAGCUAUUCUGUUUGCAGACAAUGUGAACUUCAAACCAAGAAUGAUCUGAAGAGAUAAAGAAGGUCACUACAUACUAGUUAGGGGAAAACUUCAAGAGGAAGAGAUAACAAUCUUCAAUAUAUAUGCACCAAAUUUCAGAGCACCCAGCUAUACAAAGCAAGUAUUAACAGAAAUGAAAAAUCAAAUAAGCAACAACACAAUUAUAACAGGAGACCUGACACCAAGGGACAGAUCAACAGGACAGAAAAUCAGCUAAGAAAUAAAAGAACUGAAUCACACUUGUGAACAAAUGGACUUGAUAGACAUAUACAGAGUUUUCUGUUCAACAACAUCAGAAUGUACAUGCUUCUCAGCAGUGCAUGGGACAUUCUCUAAAAUAGACCAUAUACUGUCCCACAGAACAUAUUUAAGUAAAUGCAAAAGAGUUGAAAUUAUCCCAUGCAUGUUAUCAUAUCAUAGUGCCAUGAAACUAGAAAUUAAUGAUAAAAGAAACUUCAAAAACUCACAAACACAUGGAAAUUGAAUAAUAAACUCUUGAGCAAUCAGUGGGUCACAGGGGAAAUUAAAGGAGAAAUUAAAUAAUACCUACAAGCAAACAAAAAUACAAAUACAACUUACCAGAAUCUGUGGGAUGCAAUGAAAACAGUCUUCAGAAGAAAAUUUAUUGCACUGAGUUCCCACAUCAGGAAAACAGAACAAACACAGAUAAGCAACCUGAUGCUACACCUCAAGCAUCUGGAAAAAGAAGAGCAAGUGAAGCACAAAACCAAAAGA